AUGGUGUCCACGGAUUAUAGUACCUACCACCAAGCUGCAGCCCAGCAGGGCUACAGUGCUUACACCGCCCAGCCCACUCAAGGAUAUGGACAGACCAUCCAGGCAUAUGGGCAGCAAAGCUAUGGAACCUAUGAACAGCCCACUGAUGUCAGCUAUACCCAAGCUCAGACAGACUGCCUAUGCAACUUCUUAUGGACAGCCUCCCACUGGUUAUACUACUCCAACUGCCCCCCAGGCGUACAGCCAGCCUGUCCAGGGGUAUGGCACUGGUGCUUAUGAUAUCACCACUGCUACAGUUACCACCACCCAGGCCUCCUAUGUGUCUCAGUCUGCAAUGGCCCUCAGCCUGCUUACUGCACCUAGAAGACUGUAGGAUGGUAACAAGCCUGCUGAGACUAGUCAACCUCAGUCUAGCACAGGGGGUUACAACCAGCCUAACCUAGGAUUUGGACAUAGUAACGACAGUUAUCUCCAGGUACCUGGGAGUUGCCCCAUGCAGCCAGUCACCACAAUGCCAUCCUACCCUCCUUCCAGCUAUUCUUCUUCACAGCUGACUAGUUAUGAUCAGAGCAGUUACUCUCAGCAGAACACCUAUGGGCAGCUGAGCAGCUAUGGACAGCAGAGUAGCUAUGGUCACAAAGCAGCUAUGGUCAGCAGCCUCCCUCUGGUUAACCGCCCCCCAAACAGGAUCCUACAGCCAGGCUCCAAGUCAAUAUAGCCAAAAGAGCAGCAGCUAUGAGCAGCAGAGUUCAUUCCAACAGGACCACCCCAGUAGCAGGGGUGUUUAAGGGCAGGAGUGUGGAGGAUUUUCCAGACCAAGAGAAAACCGGAGCAUGAGUGGCCCUGAUAACUGGGGCAGGGGAAGAGGGGUAUUUGAUAGUGGAGGCAUGAGCAGAGAUGGGCAGGGAGGAGGACACAGUGGAAUGGGCACUGGAGAGCAAGGUGGCUUCAAUAAGCCUGGAGGACCCAUGGAUGAAGGACCAGAUCUUGAUGUAGAUCCAGAUGAAGAUUCUGACAACAGUGCAAUUUAUGUGCAAGGAUUAAAUGACAGUGUGACCCUAGAUGAUCUGGCAGACUUCUUUAAGCAGUGUGGGGUUGGUAAGAUGAACAAGAGAACUGGACAACCCAUGAUCCACAUCUACCUGGACAAGGAAACAGGAAAGCCCAAAGGUGAUGCCACAGAGUCCUAUGAAGAUCCACCAACUAACUGCAAAGGCUGCCAUGAAAUGAUUUGA